CAGGUGUUGCAUGGCUGUCGUCAGCUCGUUUCGUGAGAUGUUGGGUUAAGUCCCCGCAACGAGCGCAACCCUUGUCGUUAGUUGCCAGCGGUUCGGCCGGGCACUCUAACGAGACUGCCGGUGUUAAACCGGAGGAAGGUGGGGAUGACGUCAAGUCCUCAUGGCCCUUAUGCCCAGGGCUACACACGUGCUACAAUGACCGGUACAAAGGGUUGCAAACCCGCGAGGGCAAGCCAAUCCCAAAAAACCGGCCUCAGUUCAGAUUGAAGUCUGCAACUCGACUUCAUGAAGUCGGAAUCGCUAGUAAUCGCGGAUCAGCACGCCGCGGUGAAUACGUUCCCGGGCCUUGUACACACCGCCCGUCACACCACGGGAGUCGGUUGGUCCCGAAGUGCGUGAGCUAACCCGCAAGGGAGGCAGCGUCCUAAGGAAUGGCCGGUGACUGGGGUGAAGUCGUAACAAGUGUAGCCGUAUGGGAACC
rnacentral:rRNA from 1 species